CUGGCUCAGGAUGAACGCUAGCGGCAGGCUUAACACAUGCAAGUCGAGGGGCAGCACGGGAGUAGCAAUACGUUGGUGGCGACCGGCGCGACGGGUGAGUAACGCGUAUGCAACCUACCUAUCAGAGGGGAAUAACCCGGCGAAAGUCGGACUAAUACCGCAUAAAACAGGGGCACCGCAUGGUGAUAUUUGUUAAAGAAAUUCGCUGAUAGAUGGGCAUGCGUUCCAUUAGGUAGUUGGUGAGGUAACGGCUCACCAAGCCGACGAUGGAUAGGGAACUGAGAGGUUGGUCCCCCACACUGGUACUGAGACACGGACCAGACUCCUACGGGAGGCAGCAGUGAGGAAUAUUGGUCGAUGGGCGGGAGCCUGAACCAGCCAAGUCGCGUUGAAGGAAGAAGGAUCUAUGGUUCGUAAACUUCUUUGCAGGGGAAUAAAGUGCAGGACGUGUCCUGUUUUGUAUGUACCCUGAGAAUAAGGAUCGGCUAACUCCGUGCCAGCAGCGGC
rnacentral:rRNA from 1 species